AGUGAACGCUGGCGGUAGGCCUAACACAUGCAAGUCGAACGGCAGCACAGUAAGAGCUUGCUCUUACGGGUGGCGAGUGGCGGACGGGUGAGGAAUACAUCGGAAUCUACUUUUUCGUGGGGGAUAACGUAGGGAAACUUACGCUAAUACCGCAUACGACCUACGGGUGAAAGCAGGGGAUCUUCGGACCUUGCGCGAUUGAAUGAGCCGAUGUCGGAUUAGCUAGUUGGCGGGGUAAGGGCCCACCAAGGCGACGAUCCGUGGCUGGUCUGAGAGGAUGAUCAGCCACACUGGAACUGAGACACGGUCCAGACUCCUACGGGAGGCAGCAGUGGGGAAUAUUGGACAAUGGGCGCAAGCCUGAUCCAGCCAUACCGCGUGGGUGAAGAAGGCCUUCGGGUUGUAAAGCCCUUUUGUUGGGAAAGAAAAGCAGCAGGUUAAUACCCCGCUGUUCUGACGGUACCCAAAGAAUAAGCACCGGCUAACUUCGUG
rnacentral:rRNA from 1 species